rnacentral:rRNA from 1 species
AGCAGCCGCGGUAAUUCCAGCUCCAAUAGCGUAUAUUAAAGUUGUUGCAGUUAAAAAGCUCGUAGUUGAAUUUCGGGAUCAAUAUGCUGGUCGUGCCAUUGGUACGUACUAGUAUUAUUGGUUUCUCCUUUCUGAUGAAUCAUGAUGUCAUUAAUUUGAUGUCAUGAGGAAUCAGGACUGUUACUUUGAAAAAAUUAGAGUGUUUAAAGCAGGCUCGCGCUUGAAUACAUUAGCAUGGAAUAAUGAAAUAGGAUGUUUGAUUCUAUUUUGUUGGUUUCUAGGAUUGAUGUAAUGAUUAAUAGGGAUAGUUGGGGGCAUUAGUAUUCAAUUGUCAGAGGUGAAAUUCUUGGAUUUAUUGAAGACUAACUACUGCGAAAGCAUUUGCCAAGGAUGUUUUCAUUAAUCAAGAACGAAAGUUAGGGGAUCGAAGACGAUCAGAUACCGUCGUAG